CCCCUUCCUCUUUCCCCUCUUCUCGCCUCUCCCUUCUCCCUCCUCCAUCUUUGUUCCCUUCCCCCUCCCACCACAGUUAUCUGUUCAUGUUGUUGGCACCUGAAGAAGUUGGUGGCAUGGUGAAGCCCCUGAGCAAAAGUUGCAGCAGUCUUUGAAGGAGUUGGAGAAGUCUCUAGCGAUGCAAGUUCGCCUUAAACCUGAGUCCGGAUCCAAUUUCAUCGGCACAAGCAUAUAUUCCAUGAAUUUUCCAUUAGAUUCAGUGGACAGGUAAUGUCCUCAACGACACUUGCACACCCUAAACCCUAAAAGAAACAACUUGAUGCCUUGGGUAAUUUUGGCUGCAUCCGCCUUGGUUAGUUGGUUUACAUGUGAAUUCACACAUUUAAAGGGCAUGUGAUGAUUAACUUUAUAAGUAUUUAUCCACGUUCUAAAGGAAUUAAAUAGGAUGCAGUAGUGCAGACAUUCAAAGGAGGUGAGAAGUGCACAUAUGCUUUAUGUUACUUAUAUGCAAAGAGCAGCAUAUCAAUAUAGAAGUGUCAUUCAGAGAGAGCUCUUUGAAUAUAAUAAGACAAAAGAUUAGCUGCCUGAUUUUUUUAUAAGAAGAUCCUUCUAUAUGUUGAGUUACAUGAUUUUUAAUUUGAUCAUCUUCUUUGAACAAUUUUUGUGCUGACUAUGAUAUUUCUUUUGAUUUGUGGGUUCAUCUGGGUCAUCCUUAAUUUACUCCUCACAUAAUAACUGUGAAACCUAAUGAGGCAGGAGGAUAAAAUUGUUGUUGGGACUCUGGUGAAAGCUGCAUUGGAGAAGAGUACAUGCAAAAAAUAAACAAUCAUGAUGCACUGUAAGUCCUCUCGCUGAUUUCUGAACAAUAAACAAUGAUGAUGCUCUCUUCACUUCAGAUAUUCUAAAAUUAAGGGAGUCACAAUUCUUGACUGGAUCAUAUGGGUAUGCUAUAUGAAAAAUGUACGAGGUGGUGUAGGAGGAGUUGAAAAAAAUGCAGCUCAAAGUGAGUGCAAGUGCAUAAUGUCCUAGAAUUAUUUUUCGGCGAAAGUUAGUAUCUUCUCAAUAUGUAACAGGACUGUAAAUUUUGAGAAGUGGGAAAUCAAAAUCAAUACCUUUCUUA